GACGCUGUUUGCACAUUAAAUAAUUAGUAAAAAUAAUGCAUCAUAAUAUGAAUUUAUUAUGAGACUGCUACAUGCUAAAAUGCAUUACUUAACCAUCUGCAUAUAUUGACUCAAAUGAGAAAUACACAUUUAUUAAUGUUUGCGUAAUUAAUUGGUUGAUGCAAAAGUCAUCCAAUUUUCUGAACUAUUUUGAAAGGCAUUUAUUGAUAGCCCCUGUUACUGUAAUCUUUGUCCAGCGCUCCAUCUGGUGGCGAGAUAUUUACCUUCUCGUUGAGGCCUGAGCACGAGGACAGGAACAUGCGUGGGCAUGCCGUGGACCUCAGAAAUUAAGAUGAUCACGAAGAAAUAUGGGAAUAUGCCCUUGCAUGAGCUUUACGUGUCACUGAGGGUCGUCAUCAUGAAUUCAGCGGCAGGUGAUGUUGAAUCCAUUAACAAAAAGCAGCUCUUCAUCACACUAUGAAACCACACACCAUAUUCUGCUGUGGAGACCAAGCAAACCUUCAGCAUCAUGGUUAGUGGAUGGAUCAUCCUUAUUGCUGCUGCUUCUGCCCUGUCUUUCAUUCUCAAAAGCUGUUAUGACUCACUUGACCGUCACUCUUUGGAGAGUGCCAUAAAAACACAGGAUGAGAACAAUUUGAUGGAGGUACUGCAAGAGGUUCUUGAGAAGUUAAAAAAUAAACAACUGCUACAAACCCGAAAAAGGUUUAGCCUAUACUUCCUUUGGUAAUGUAGCAUUUCACACAAAUGGAGAAGAUUUACACUUUUUUUUCCAAUUCUACCCUCAUGUAAAAAUUGUUUUAAUCAUAAUUAUGUGACUUCAUUCUCUGAUAGGCUUUGAUUUUCAAGUAAAAUUAUAAGUUAGUUCACUGCACUUUUCCACUUUGAAUUGAAUCAUUUAAAAAGAAUAUGAGUUGACAAAAAAAAUGAGAACAUAUUGUGACAUGUCAAAUGCAUGGAAACAAAUAUGUUAACAUUAUGUAAUGAUUUUACAUAUAAGAUGUAUAGUCUACCCAUGACAUCAUACACUGCAAUAUGUGUUUCUGUUUAUGUACUGUUAUUACAUUGACCACUUUAUUACUCAUAGUGUACAUCUAAAGUGUGAUGCAGGUGAGCAGUGUGCAGUAUGUAAAGAUGCAAUAGUUGGCAAGUUAUGCGGUUUUCCACAAGGAACGUCAUGCCACUUUUUUUAUUUCAAAAUGCCUUU